rnacentral:rRNA from 1 species
UGAGGAAUAUUGGUCAAUGGGCGCGAGCCUGAACCAGCCAAGUAGCGUGAAGGAUGAAGGUCCUACGGAUUGUAAACUUCUUUUAUAAGGGAAUAAAGUCAUCUACGUGUAGGUGUUUGUAUGUACCUUAUGAAUAAGCAUCGGCUAACUCCGUGCCAGCAGCCGCGGUAAUACGGAGGAUGCGAGCGUUAUCCGGAUUUAUUGGGUUUAAAGGGAGCGUAGACGGGUCGUUAAGUCAGCUGUGAAAGUUUGGGGCUCAACCUUAAAAUUGCAGUUGAUACUGGCGUCCUUGAGUACGGUUGAGGCAGGCGGAAUUCGUGGUGUAGCGGUGAAAUGCUUAGAUAUCACGAAGAACCCCGAUUGCGAAGGCAGCCUGCUAAACCGCCACUGACGUUGAGGCUCGAAAGUGUGGGUAUCAAACAGGAUUAGAUACCCUGGUAGUCCACACGGUAAACGAUGAAUACUCGCUGUUUGCGAUAUACUGCAAGCGGCCAAGCGAAAGCGUUAAGUAUUCCACCUGGGGAGUACGCCGGCAACGGUGAAACUCAAAGGAAUUGACGGGGGCCCGCACAAGCGGAGGAACAUGUGGUUUAAUUCGAUGAUACGCGAGGAACCUUACCCGGGCUUAAAUUGCAGAUGAAUUACGGUGAAAGCCGUAAGCCGCAAGGCAUCUGUGAAGGUGCUGCAUGGUUGUCGUCAGCUCGUGCCGUGAGGUGUCGGCUUAAGUGCCAUAACGAGCGCAACCCUUGUUGUCAGUUACUAACAGGUUCCGCUGAGGACUCUGACAAGACUGCCAUCGUAAGAUGUGAGGAAGGUGGGGAUGACGUCAAAUCAGCACGGCCCUUACGUCCGGGGCUACACACGUGUUACAAUGGGGGGUACAGAGGGCCGCUACCACGCGAGUGGAUGCCAAUCCCCAAAACCUCUCUCAGUUCGGACUGGAGUCUGCAACCCGACUCCACGAAGCUGGAUUCGCUAGUAAUCGCGCAUCAGCCACGGCGCGGUGAAUACGUUCCC